UACGGGGGGGGCAAGCGUUGUUCGGAAUUACUGGGCGUAAAGGGCUCGUAGGCGGCCAACUAAGUCAGACGUGAAAUCCCCAGGCUCAACCUGGGAACUGCGUCCGAUACUGGAUGGCUUGAAUCCGGGAGAGGGAUGCAGAAUUCCAGGUGUAGCGGUGAAAUGCGUAGAUAUCUGGAGGAAUACCGGUGGCGAAGGCGGCAUCCUGGACCGGCAUUGACGCUGAGGAGCGAAAGCCAGGGGAGCAAACGGG
rnacentral:rRNA from 1 species